AGUCGUACGCACUGGCCCAACUGAUUGAUGGUGCUUGCACCUGAUUGAUGAUGGAUCACCAGUGAGUGGCGGACGGGUGAGUAACACGUAGGUAACCUGCCCCGGAGCGGGGGAUAACAUUUGGAAACAGAUGCUAAUACCGCAUAACAACAAAAGCCACAUGGCUUUUGUUUGAAAGAUGGCUUUGGCUAUCACUCUGGGAUGGACCUGCGGUGCAUUAGCUAGUUGGUAAGGUAACGGCUUACCAAGGCGAUGAUGCAUAGCCGAGUUGAGAGACUGAUCGGCCACAAUGGAACUGAGACACGGUCCAUACUCCUACGGGAGGCAGCAGUAGGGAAUCUUCCACAAUGGGCGCAAGCCUGAUGGAGCAACACCGCGUGAGUGAAGAAGGGUUUCGGCUCGUAAAGCUCUGUUGUUGGAGAAGAACGUGCGUGAGAGUAACUGUUCACGCAGUGACGGUAUCCAACCAGAAAGUCACGGCUAACUACGUGCCAGCAGCCGCGGUAAUACGUAGGUGGCAAGCGUUAUCCGGAUUUAUUGGGCGUAAAGCGAGCGCAGGCGGUUGCUUAGGUCUGAUGUGAAAGCCUUCGGCUUAACCGAAGAAGUGCAUCGGAAACCGGGCGACUUGAGUGCAGAAGAGGACAGUGGAACUCCAUGUGUAGCGGUGGAAUGCGUAGAUAUAUGGAAGAACACCAGUGGCGAAGGCGGCUGUCUGGUCUGCAACUGACGCUGAGGCUCGAAAGCAUGGGUAGCGAACAGGAUUAGAUACCCUGGUAGUCCAUGCCGUAAACGAUGAGUGCUAGGUGUUGGAGGGUUUCCGCCCUUCAGUGCCGGAGCUAACGCAUUAAGCACUCCGCCUGGGGAGUACGACCGCAAGGUUGAAACUCAAAGGAAUUGACGGGGGCCCGCACAAGCGGUGGAGCAUGUGGUUUAAUUCGAAGCUACGCGAAGAACCUUACCAGGUCUUGACAUCUUGCGCUAACCUUAGAGAUAAGGCGUUCCCUUCGGGGACGCAAUGACAGGUGGUGCAUGGUCGUCGUCAGCUCGUGUCGUGAGAUGUUGGGUUAAGUCCCGCAACGAGCGCAACCCUUGUUACUAGUUGCCAGCAUUAAGUUGGGCACUCUAGUGAGACUGCCGGUGACAAACCGGAGGAAGGUGGGGACGACGUCAGAUCAUCAUGCCCCUUAUGACCUGGGCUACACACGUGCUACAAUGGACGGUACAACGAGUCGCAAACUCGCGAGAGUAAGCUAAUCUCUUAAAGCCGUUCUCAGUUCGGACUGUAGGCUGCAACUCGCCUACACGAAGUCGGAAUCGCUAGUAAUCGCGGAUCAGCAUGCCGCGGUGAAUACGUUCCCGGGCCUUGUACACACCGCCCGUCACACCAUGGGAGUUUGUAACGCC
rnacentral:rRNA from 2 species